rnacentral:lncRNA from 1 species
GGCGCUGCCCGCGCUGCACGCCGAGCGCGCCGCGCUGCGGCGACAGCUGGCCGCCGCCACGGAGCAGGCCGCGGCGCUGAGGGCCGCGCACGGUUACCCGACUACCGAAGAGAUCUCUUUUCCUAAGGAAAGCGUGGACCAAUCUAUACAGGAGCAACCAAGCAACGGAGGGUGAUCGCCGCCGACCUAUACAAUGUGAAUACAACGUAACACGACAUAUUCUAUGUGCGGCCAUCUUGGACUAACAUCACGUCAUCUCCGCGCCACGCCAUUGGCCGGCGCCAUCAUGGAACAUCACGUUAUUUCCGCGCCAUUCCAUUGGCCGGCACGGGGGCGCGUGGCUUAAAUCGACCAAUCACUACAGCCCAUUUUAUUUUAAAGGUUUGUACUUUUAAUAGUCUGUAUAAUACGCGGCAUAGUAUUUUUUAAUUGUUAAACUGUAGAUUUGUCGAUGAAUAAUCAAAUUUUUGUAAAUGUUUAAAUUUAGAAUCGUCGGCAAAUGAUUCUAUUUUUAUCUAAGAUUUUUUAGGCUUAUUGUAAUGUAUUAAUAUUAAAUAAUGUGUUUUGUAAAUUAUAUUAUUUUUAUUGGCUUUUACAAUUUUUCACUUACUCUUUUUUAGAAAGUAUAUUGUUAGUUAAAAACUUAAACCUAGUAACCGCUAAUGAAAUAGUAUAAUUUACAAUAACAUUUUUAAAUUGAGAUUCUCACACUAUAGUCGCGUAUGACUUUAUAUAGGCUUUCUCUCUAACAGGGUUAACAGCCCGAUGAUGUAUCCAUAAAUGUUUAGUAACUUUAUUUUUAUGUGGCUUUUAGAAAUAUUUUUCAUUGAAAUCUUGUCUUCUAUAAUACGUACUAUACAGUCUUUAAAAAAAAAGCGAUUUUUUUCAUCCGAUUUCUACUGCUUGACAAUAAUGGUAGGAUUUUAGUAGGAAUUAAAGUUAUUUCUGGCAACACUACUUUCAACCUUUUUUAUUGGACGACGGCGAUUGAAAAUGCAAAGGAUUGGUUAUUUGUCGGUGUUGCCAUUAUAAUAGUAAUAAAUCUACUAUUUGCUGUCGAGGUGCACUUUUUUAUUCUUAUCUUUGUAUCUUCCUGUAAGUAGCAUUUUCAAAGUUGGUCCAGCAUUUAAGUAUGUUUUCGUUGCAUAAAGUUAUUUUUGUAUUUACGUUUUGACGACCGCGUUAGUAUAAGACUUGUGUAUAUUUUGUAAUAAUUGUUUUCUCAACUUAGCAUUACAUAUAAGUACCAACUAAUCGAUAGUAUUAAUAAAAAACAAAUCUAUUAUAUUCCAUGUAAGUUUAAUCAUGUGAUGUUUAUCAGCCGGUAAGUAAAGUAAAUGUAUUUUUUUCUCUGUAAUAUUUUUUUUCCAAAAAUUUAAUGUUUUUUUUUCUUUAAGUUAUAUGUGUUAUAGUUGGUGUAAAUAGGUAUAUUUUAGAGCUUUGUGACAGCCUUUUAGGGUCUUGUCACACUGAAUCGAUCGUAUGGAAAUCUUCCAACGUAAGUCGUCGAUAUAGAUUGCUUCAGUGGAAUAAGGCCCUACUGUACGGCACUUGUAUAAUACAGUUACUAUAUUUUUGGGAAUAUUCGGAUGUUCCGCGAAAUUCGUAUUUAUUGCAAGUAUUAUAUUGGACAAUAUUAUUACUACAUUUUGGGAAAUCAAACCUGUAAAAAUCAUUUCUUGAAAAGUUUUAAAAUUAUUAAAUGAAUAUUUCAUUUUAAUUUAGUUUGAAAGUUGUAAAGCUGUCUCUUUCCUGCACUCAUCGUUAGAGAAAGAUAGCAUUAUUUUUAGAACUGUCAAAUUGAAUUAUGUAUAAGUUUUUUUUUGUAAAAUUAAGUCUCAUCUGUGGAAUGAGUGUAUGGUACAUAAAUACAAUACUUAUUAUAUUAUCCAUCUCAGGACUUCGUACCUAAAGUGAAUGCAAGUUGACUUUGUGGCUCUGUCUACCCCAUUACGGAGGACGGGCGUCAGUUCAUGUUCAAAAUUACUUUUUUAUUUAAACCUUAUCUCAACUACAAUAUGUGUCAUAUUAUAAUAUAAUUGUUAAUAUAAGAUAUAAUAAAAAAUCAAUAAUAUUGCGAUGGAUGUCCCUCUGACUAACUCAAUCGGGGUAUAGUCGUGAGUCGAGAUUUUUUGUACUAUACAUUCAUUCUGAAGAUAUCUGGUUACAUUUUUUGAAAUUAUUGUCGUUUAUUAAAUUAAAUAACUAUAAAUGUAUCCCUACACACAAAUAUAGCGGGCGGGUAAUAUAUUUUAUUUGUUGCAGACAAGUAUCAAGAACUAUUUGUCAUUAUGUAUUUCAUAGCCAAAGGUGAAAAUAGAAUCGAAUUUCGUAAAAAAUAGUUACAACCAUUAAGAAAUAGGGAAGGCCCGUGCCCCAGCAGUGGGGACGUUAAUGGGCUGAUGAUGAUGAACCAUUAAGAAAUGGCAAUAGGAACUGGGCAUCCUCAGGCCUGUUGUCUUAAAUUAUGUACCGGGUGAGAGUCCUCAGCGCUCCCCAUUUGUCCGGCUAAGUAGUUAAUGCCAUCUGCGGCAAAUGUACAAUAAGACACGCCUAAAAAAAAGAGCAUUCGCUCACUACUGCUUUAACUGUUAAUAUAUCCGGCGGUAGAUGAGAUAUUGAAAAACGGAUUUCACAUUAAUUCUUGCAAUAGACAUACCUCUGACUACCCCAAAUGGGAUCUAUAUCCCAAUUACGAUUAUUCGUGAGUUUAUGUUGUCUUUGUAUAUAAUGAUGUAAGUGCCCACCUGCUAUAUAAGUGUUUGAAUAUAAUACAAGUACCUUACAUUUUGCCAUAUAACGCUGAUUACUCGGCCUGUGAUCCCGCACAUGCGCACUACACGUCUUACGUCUUUGAACCAGUUUAUUUUCAUACAUACAACUAAGGCCCUGCGCAGACGACAGACUAUCCGUGACGCACUUUUUUAUGCAAUUAUAUGCAGUAACGCGCCGGACUUUUUGCGCGUCGUGUGCGUUACUGCAUAUAAUUGCAUAGGUUAUAUUUUCACAGACUAAAAAGUGCGUCACGGAUAGUCUGUCGUCUGCGCAGGGCCUAACACUUAUGAAAGUGUGUUAUAAUGCAAUACUAAAACCAUUCUACGUAAAAAUACAAUAGAGGUAGGCAGAUGUGUAUAGUUUAUAAUAUACAUCGUCGCUAGAUAUGUUAUAUAUAGAAAGCUAAAAAAACUAAAAAAAAAACAGAUAAAGAAAUCUUUUUAAGCAACUUAUCCCAUUGAUAGUCAGUAACAUUUUUAACUUACGUGCUACGUUAGUAAACAGACUAAUUGUUUUUUUUUAAAUAGGUCGUUAUUAUGGUCAAUUGAAUUCACUUUGUUAAAAUUAUGACUUGAUUUUGUUCCAAGAUAUCGGAGACGUGUAGUGCGUUCUGUAAUAUAUAUGAGCUGUUUAUAACUUAUAUAUAUAUCUAGUUUAUUAUUUCUACAUAUAUUUUCUACUAUGAAAUGACUUUGUAUUCAUUAUAAAUGUUCGGUUAACUAAAUAGGAGGCUUAGAAAGGCCACAUUGAAGCAAUUCAUCUAAAAAACCAGUAUUGCAAAUUGACAUUAGCGCAUAUAGCAUAGCGCUAAGUGCGUAAUGCACACAAAUGUCAAAUAGCAAUAUUGUUUUUUUUUUUUGAUGAAUUGCUUUGAUGUGGCCUUUUUAAUCCCCCCAGGUCAUUAUUUAUUGCAUUCUUUAGAAUUACCAUAUCGUUGUUUAAUUUGAAAAUCAUGUAAGCGAAUUUAUGAAAAGUCACAUUCUGAUGUGAUUAUCAUCAACAAAACCUCUGUUUUUUCCAAUGAAUUUCCAAUCGGCGUUCCCCAAAAACACGGUAGUCGGCGUUAUUAAGUUUUUUCUUCGUUUAACCUAAUAAUCUUAUGGGUGACAGACAUAUGCAUCUUUUAUCUUAUGGGUAUAAAUUGAUGACCCUUUUUAUUACACCAAGGUAUAAUUACAACUUCCACCCACUAUUAUUCGGAUCAAAAUAAACAGAAGCAAUAUAGGUAUCAACAUCAUUCUAUACAUAAUGUAAUCCAAAUAUCAAGCAAAAAUUAGUUUUAUAUAUGCUUCUGCCAUUACAUUACAUUUUUGAAUAAUUAUGUACCCCAGCAAUGAGAAAAUAGGUAAUUAUUACGUUAAAAGUGAACAACGCCAUCUAUCGUGUGUUUGGGGAACAAUUGGCAAGUUCCUCAUUAAUUUCAAUCAGUUUCAAUAAUACAUGUUUCAAUAAAAAUAUACAGGGUGUUAGUGACAUCGUAACGAAUACUCAGGGGGAUGAUUCAGGCCAUGAUUCUGAGUUAAUAUCAAGUGGAAUUUUCCGUCGCAAAAUUCAUAUUUUUUUUUAAGUUUUUUAAAAUUAUUUUCAAUUCUAUACUUUUGCGAUGGAAAAUUCCACUUGAUAUUAAUUCAGAAUAAUCAGCUAAAUCAUCCCCCGCAGUAUUCGUUAUGACGUCACUUACACCCCGCACAAGUACAUACGGUAGCCAUAUAAGUAGGUAUGGGUGUUAGUGACACCGUAACGAAUACUGAAGGGGAUGGUUCAGACUAUGAUUCUGAGUUGAUAUCAAGUGGAAUUUUCAGUCCGAAUAUUCAUGAAAAUUUUAGUGUUUUUUUUUUAAUUAUUUUCAGUUCGAUACUUUUGCGACGGAAAAUUCCACUUGAUAUCAACUCAGAAUCAUGGCUUCAAUCACCCCUCAAAGUUUUCGUUACGAUGCCACUAUAUAAGUAAAAUAUUUUUUUACCUAGAUUGAAACUAGCCUCGCAAUAAACAAUUAUUGCGAGGUUCUGUUAACAAAAAAUCGAAUGUGAUUUAUCAUAAGGCGUUUUCGUGGUUUUCAUAAGGCCUCGAUAAAUACUAAUCAAGUGGCUUUAAGUAUUUAAAUGACGUUUUCUUAUUAUUUAAAUUUUAUCAGAAUCUCCAAACUUAAUGAAAAAUCUAUAAUCUCAUAUACACGUGAAUUAUAGUUUGAACAGCUUAUAUAUAAGUAUGUGAAAGGAAAUAAAGAUGUACCUAAAAUAAACGUGUAUAGUAAUAAUAAUGUAGCCAUAGCAUUGUAGCCAGAGUUUUGUAAAUAUAUACAACAUUGUAACCUGUAUACAGACAAAUAUAUAUUUUUUACCUUAGUAUAGACGUUAGACCAAAUGAUACCCAUCCAUUUUCCCAACACUAUAUAUUUUAUAUAUCACACGAGCGUUUUAUAAGCGUUUUAAUAUAAAUUGGCGUAAGUUAUAAAGUUGAUAAUUGCAUGUAAUUCUACCUUGCAAUAUGACGAUACUCCCAUUCAGUAUGUAAUCUAUUGUAAACUUAUAUUGUAUACCACCAAACGCAUAUAGCUGUAUCUAAGAUGUACCGCCGAAGUGAGGGCCGCAUUUAGGCCUCCCACUUUUGACUGGGGGGUCCGCACCCCCCAACAGGUUCACACUUCGUGGGUCAUAUGGACCCCCCAGUAUUGAGUGCGGCCCUGGCUUCGGUAAUAGCGUCGCUUCCUCCGCUUGACGUACGAAUGUAACGUUAGUUAGUGGUAUCAAUAAAUACCUACAACCAUUA